GAUACCCGGGUAGUCCACGCCGUAAACGAUGUCAACUAGCCGUUGGGUUCCUUGAGAACUUAGUGGCGCAGCUAACGCAUUAAGUUGACCGCCUGGGGAGUACGGCCGCAAGGUUAAAACUCAAAUGAAUUGACGGGGGCCCGCACAAGCGGUGGAGCAUGUGGUUUAAUUCGAAGGAACGCGAAGAACCUUACCUGGCCUUGACAUGCUGAGAACUUUCCAGAGAUGGAUUGGUGCCUUCGGGAGCUCAGACACAGGUG
rnacentral:rRNA from 1 species